CUCCCAAGUAUCUGGAAUUACAAGCAUGUGCCAUCAUGCUUGGCUAAAUUCUUCUAGGUCCUGAAUCAUUUCAAUAGACUGCCAACAUGCACUUGGGCUUUCUAUUCGUGUGAUAAACCUACAGAGGAUAGUAAACCCACUUGGUUGGAACCCAGGUUAGGCGUCUGAUCUGGGGAUUGCUGGCUUCACUAUCACGAGUUCGGGAAACACAGGCAAAGCUUUUGGAAGUUCAUUCUGUCGAAGAUACUGCGUCUAAUAUUAUCGUGAUUUAUAACUUCACUUUAAGACAACUCAACAGCAGAAACAGCAGAGAGAAAUUGAAAGGCAAAAUAUUUAUGAUGGAGACGAUGCCGAGUUGAAACAGUGUGGCAGCCUGGCAGGAUGUGCCUUUUAUCUUCUCCGCAUGUGCUCAGAUUUAGAAAUGUCUGAAAGGCUACUUUACCAUCCAACCUAGGCAUGCUAUGAGUUGCUGGGGAUUGAAUCCAGGCAUGCAAGGCACACACUCUACCAACUGAGAUACCCCCAGCCCCCAGUGAGUGGCAUGGCUGGGAAGUGCCGGUGAAAACGAGGGUGGAAAAUUUCCAGUGUUGCUGAAAACCGGACGAGACUUUGGAUCAAGCUAGCUGCCUGCAGAACUUACCUGGACUGUGAUUUAAGCUAGCUGCCUGCAGAACUUACC